rnacentral:rRNA from 1 species
CGAACGCUGGCGGCGUGCCUAAGACAUGCAAGUCGUGCGAGAAAGCCUCUUCGGAGGUGAGUAGAGCGGCGCACGGGUGAGUAACGCGUCGGGUAAUCUACCCCUGGGUUUGGGAUAACUCGGGGGAAACCUGAGCUAAUACCGAAUAAGCCCACGAGGUCUUCGGACCAUGCGGGAAAAGGUGGCCUCUGCAUGCAAGCUACUUCCCAGGGAUGAGCCCGCGUCCCAUUAGCUUGUUGGUGAGGUAACAGCUCACCAAGGCUUCGAUGGGUAGCUGGUCUGAGAGGACGAUCAGCCACACUGGGACUGAGACACGGCCCAGACUCCUACGGGAGGCAGCAGUCGGGAAUUUUGGGCAAUGGGCGCAAGCCUGACCCAGCAACGCCGCGUGAGGGAUGAAGGCCUUCGGGUCGUAAACCUCUGUCAGGAGGGAAGAACGACUCCGGGACGAACAAUCCCGGAGAGUGACGGUACCUCCAAAGGAAGCGCCGGCUAACUCCGUG